UACGUAGGGGGCAAGCGUUAUCCGGAAUCACUGGGUGUAAAGGGAGCGUAGACGGCUGUGCAAGCCUGAAGUGAAAGGCGGGGGCCCAACCCCCGGACUGCUUUGGGAACUGUACGGCUGGAGUACUGGAGAGGAAAGUGGAAUUCCUAGUGUAGCGGUGAAAUGCGUAGAUAUUAGGAGGAACACCAGUGGCGAAGGCGACUUUCUGGACAGUAACUGACGUUGAGGCACGAAAGUGUGGGGAGCAAACAGG
rnacentral:rRNA from 1 species